rnacentral:rRNA from 1 species
UGAGCAACCUGCCCUUCUCAUCGGAAUAAGCGUUGGAAACGACGUCUAAUGCCGAAUACGACCUCCUUUCGCAUGAUCGGAGGUGGAAAGCUCCGGCGGAGAAGGAUGAGCUCGCGGCCUAUCAGCUAGUUGGUGUGGGUAAUGGCCCACCAAGGCGACGACGGGUAGCCGGCCUGAGAGGGUGACCCGGCCACACUGGGACUGAGACACGGCCCAGACCUCCGUACGGGAGGCAGCG